UUCACUUGCGUCAGGAAACAUGGAGUUUGAGAGGAGGAUUGUGUUCCUAAAUAAAGCAUCAAAACAUUUGUUGGAGGGAUAACUUUUUAAAGAAGAUUAUUUGCCUCCGGUUAUUAAAUCUUUAAAGAAGAAUGACCGUUGAUCACCUCCCAGUGGAGCAUGGGCCGCAACUACACUCUGACCUAUGACCUAUGUGUCGUGGGGUAAUGAACCCUGAAUAGUCGAGUGGGGGAUGUGAGGACUGGAAGUCACUUCAGUGUGAAUUACUCACUCUGUCAAGUAUAUAUAUAUACACUCCUCACACAUGCACGCACAUGCUCACCCAGGACCGAACACUGUGCCAGAACUAGGAUGAGAACACUUAUGCCGACAAAGCGCUUUGUUCUCUACCUGUUCCUACUGAAACGUGUGUCUGUGUGUUGGGGUAGGACUGACAUUCCAGUCAGUCUGGUACCUAGGAUUUAUCAUCUCCUCCUUGGAGAAUAUGUUCAUGCAGCCUGCGUGAACAAGGGGAACACAGGAAGAUGACAGAUUUAUUGAUGUGUCAACCAUGCUAAAGAUGAGAUAGACAACACCCAACCGCACACCCACGUCCAAGGAAAGUCAUGGUGUGAGAUAUUGUGAUACAAGUUGUGUGUGGUUUCAGCCUCCACAACAACUUCUAUGUCGAGACGAGCUGCGACCUUCGUCCCAUGCCCCGAGAACCAGAUCAGCGUGACCUUGCACGAGAGCUGAGCGAGAACUGGCGACAUGAUGGACUGGCUUACUUUCAUCACAAACCACAGACUCACCCAUGACCUCAGAAGCCAGAUUUCCCGUGGGUGAGGAAUUGUGACGAAUCCAGACCUCAAGCUGCACCGAGAACGACUGCUGACAAGGGCACGUUGGAGGACGCGAUAACGAAACUGUUUCUCGGCUGCUGCCUUCGUUACAGAUAAUCCCAAGAAAACUCCCCCACCCCUUAAAAAUAAAACAACAAACAAAUAAAUAAAAAAAAUCGAGAGGGAAAGAAAGAGAAAAAAAAAAACAAAUGAAAAGAAGAAAAGUUUUCCUCUUUCUACCAGAUAUUCUGUAUCUAAAAAUGACACGUCAGGGGAAAACUGUUUGUUAGUCAGUAGGGUUGCGCAAUGCCUUUAAUAUCAUUACGCCCUUUCUUCAUUGUCUGGUUCUUUUUUCUCAGUCUACAAGAAUUGCUUUGACCUUCAAAGGUUACAAAAUGUAUUGUGUUGCAAAAGCUUUUUCUUAUACAAUAUUACUGAAUAUAAACUAAG